rnacentral:rRNA from 1 species
UACGUAGGGCGCAAGCGUUAUCCGGAAUUAUUGGGCGUAAAGAGCGUGUAGGCGGCCAGGUAGGUCGGUUGUGAAAACUGGAGGCUCAACCUUCAGAGGUCGACCGAAACCAUCUGGCUAGAGUCCGGGAGAGGAGAGUGGAAUUCCUGGUGUAGCGGUGAAAUGCGCAGAUAUCAGGAAGAACACCCGUGGCGAAAGCGGCUCUCUGGAACGGUACUGACGCUGAGACGCGAAAGCGUGGGGAGCGAACAGG